rnacentral:misc_RNA from 1 species
AACGCACAUUGCGCCCCCUGGUAUUCCGGGGGGCAUGUCUGUUUGAGCGUCAGUACCCACUCCAGGCGUCCGCUUUUUGCUGGACGUCCGGGUCUUGAGGCACCCUGGUGCCUCCAACGUAGCACGCUUGCGAACCCCCACCGAUCGACGACGUAGUAAAUCGCCUCGUCAGCCGAGAGGGAUGGGCCGCCUGAACAUCAAACCUAGUAGUUUGACCUCAGAUCAGACAAGGAUACCCGCUGAACUUAA